rnacentral:lncRNA from 1 species
UCCCUUUUUAUUCCCUUUUUAAAACAAAGCCCAUCCCUAAAAUGAAAGUUGCUGACUCCCCUUGUUAGGGUUUCAUUUAGCAAGUGGCCGUCGAACCACCAUUUCUUCGGUGACCGACGGUUCUCAGGCCAGAUCUAGCCUUCUUUUACCCACAGACUUCCCUUUAAACUCCGAUCUCGACGAAGUGAAAGGGAAUCAACGGCCUAAUCGUAGGGUAAGUCCUCUUUUCUUUUUUCUUUCGCUCUUUUUUGAUGUAAAUGAUAAAGAAAUCGAUAAAAACAGGUGAAAAGAACAGAGGAUUAAGAGGAGAAAAAGGUCACCUUUCUCGGUUUUUUAUUGUUUUCUAUUGUAUAUUGCCUCCAUUUUUCGUAACCUUACAAUUGAUUCAAAGCUUGGCUUUUAUAGCCGAAGAGAAAGAGAAAAAUGCUAGAAAAUAAAACAUAAAUACAAUAUUCUCCCUUGUUUUUUUGUCUAUUCUGCUGGGUGUUUGCAUUUGCUGCUGUGUUUGUCCUUGUUGCAGGUACGAGACGUGCUGGCGUUCGGGUACGAGAGCUGGUGUAUGGGCACGCGCGUGACUACUGAAACGCUGGAGCGUACCGAGGCGUGGAGGCUGAAUGGUUGCGGCGCACAGAGAGAGCCCUAGGGUUUCGUUUGGCCGAUCCUAAAUCUAGGUUUUGGGCCAUUGGGCCAUGUAUUUUUCUGGGUUAGGGAUUUGUUAAUUGGGCUGAUGAUUAUUGGGCUAAUGUAAUAAAGGGACUUGGGCUAUUAACAAUUUGGUUUAGCUUAGUUGUUUUUUAAUUGUUUGGGUUGGUUUGGGCUAAUGGACUAUUAUUGAUGGAUUGUGGUUUUUUAUUUAUUUAUUUUUAAUUUUGGUUUUUGGUUGUUGGGCCCGGGCAGAUUUGGCCCAUUACAGGUUGAAUGAAGACGUUAAGUAGUUAGUUGAGACACUUCAAAUAAAAAGAGUUUGUUGUAUUAGUGUGACAGCCCUAAUUUGGCCCUAGUCGGAAAGUGGUUUCGGGAUCACAAAACCGAGUCACAAAAAUAAUUAGAUGUUAUAUUAUGUGUUUAUUAUAUGUAAAAAUGCAUGUGUGAAAAUUUUAUGCUUUGAUUUUGUCAAUUGUAUGUGAAAUUAUUAAAUAAGAUUUAUGUGAAAAUUUUUGAAAAUGCUAUAGGCUAACUUGUAGUGGCCAAAUAACUUAUAGUAUGAAAUAGGUGGAUUUGCAUGUCAAAAUUCCUACCUAGUGGCUAGCCAUCAUGAUGGGAAUAAAUGGAAUAUGCAUUUUAAAUUAGCACUAUGAGAUUUAAUGACUUUAUUAUCAUAAAAUAAAGAGAAAUAAAAUAACAAAAUGAUGAAAAGGACAAAGCUUGUCCAUCUUUAUUCUUCAUAGCCGAACUUAAGAAAACAAAUAGGGGAAGGGAAGCUCUUGAAUGUUCGGUCACUUGGGGAAGAAAAAUUCAAGGUAAGCUCAUGGUAGUUUGCUUUUAUCUUGAUGUUUAUGAGUUCCUUUCUUGAUUCUACCUUAACCCAUGAAGUAUAUUUCAGUUUUUGGUUGUGUUGUGAGCAUUCGGUCAUGAAUUGAAAUGAAGGAAAUGGUUGUUGUUUCAUGUUCUUUUGAUGAAUAAUGGUAGAUAGGUGAAGUUGAGCCAAACAAAUGAGCAUAUAUGUGCAUUAGAUGCUAAGUGGGAAAAUCGGCUAACAUGUUGUGUGUACUAUGGAUGAAUGUGAACUUGGAUAAUCUUGAGUAAUGUUUGUGUUUUAAAAUGAUGAAAUGGAGUGGAUGCUUUGGAUGAGUUAUACAUUGUUAUAAGUUGAAUUUAAGGUUUGUUACAUUGUCUUUGUCAUUGCUGAAUGCGUGGAUAGUUGAAGAAAAAUUUGUUAAAAUGCUUAGUAAAUUGAUAUUAGGUUAAUGUUGUGUAUAUAUAUUAUGUAAAAUAUAAACUUUGAAUGAGUAUUAAAGGUUAUAUAUGAAUUCAGCCUUGGGAUAAAUGUUAGUAUAAAAUGCUUGAAUGUUAAAUAGAUUAUUGCUUUAAUGACCAAAUGUGCCAAAGUAUAAUGCAUGAACUAGUUAACCAAUAUGUGUUAAGGGAACAUGAAUAAAUAUCUUUUUGAUGAGCUAUACAUUCGACUAUAGUAUGAAA